UGCAAGCCCUGGGGGAGCCGUUUCCGGCUGAGACAGCAUGCUGCUGAACCCCUCGUACCUGAACCGGAUAAUGCCGGCGGAGGAAAGUGGCUGCGGCGCCCG
rnacentral:ncRNA from 1 species